UACGUAGGUGGCAAGCGUUGUCCGGAUUUAUUGGGUUUAAAGGGUGCGUAGGCGGUCCUAUAAGUCAGUGCUGAAAUAUCCCGGCUUAACCGGGAGGGUGGCAUUGAUACUGCAGGACUUGAGCAAAGUUGAGGUUGGCGGAAUUGACGGUGUAGCGGUGAAAUGCUUAGAUAUCGUCAAGAACACCUAUUGCGAAGGCAGCUAACUAAGCUUUAACUGACGCUGAGGCACGAAAGUGUGGGGAUCAAACAGG
rnacentral:rRNA from 1 species